CACUCAAAAAAUGUCUCCAGUUCAUGAUCUGACCUCUGCACAUAUACAUAGCUGAAUAACUUCCAUUUUACUGUCAGUCCUGCACUUUAUAUUUUAUAUUCAUAUUUUAUACUGUAUUUUAGUUUAUUCUGGAGUAACCUCACAACAUUGGAACCUAAAAACAUUGUCCUGAGCCGUAU